rnacentral:lncRNA from 1 species
GCCAGGGGCACUCCCAUUCUGCUAGCUUCUCAGACUCCACCCAGUUCUCCUAAUCCAACAGGAGUGCAUGUUCCCGAUUACCUCCCAUGACCACUGGCUCUCACGGUGGCUGGGAACCCUGGCGGGGAGGCCUGCGCCUCCUCAAGCUCCAGUCCCUCUGGAUGGGGCACCAAGAGGCACCCUGAGAACUCAGAGGACCCAGAGGCUCCCCUCAAGCAAAUUCCCUGCUGACCCUGGACACCCCUUGAAGGAGGGGGCAAGAGGCUGCCACAAGGCUCAUCUUAUAACUCCCAGCAAGGACUCCCAGCAAACAAGUUCAGCUUGGGAUCUGCCCACCACCAAGCCUGGCUGGGAGGUGGGGGGGAGCGAGGGGCGGUGGAGAGGCAGAGUCCCUGAACAGGGAAAAGACAAUCAGUUGUUCCCCUUUCUGGUGUCAGAGGCAAAGAAGCCUGAAGGGCUGGUGGUGGUGCUGGCUCUGGGUUUAUUGACUCUGUGAUCCUGUCCAGCUGUCCUACAGGGAGUUCCAGAGCUCUCCCAAAGUGCAUGAGGAACUGCACAAGUAGGACUGGGGCACAAUACCAGAAGCUAUUUGUCUCCUAGAACCUGGCACCCCCUCCACUUACCUUACAGGAGACCCACAUCACUCAGUUCCCAGGACACCUGGUGGGAGAGUCUGGUGAGAUUUGGAGGCAGACUUCCUCUACUCACAACUUGUUUGAAAAUGGACAUAAAGAGAAGAACAGACACUCCAUCGCCCCUUCAGGGCCUCCUUUGUGUCACAAAACCUAUCCCCUCCUAGGGCACCCUUGACAUUCCCCUAGGUGGGCCUACACAUUGUUCAGAACCUGUCCCCUG